UCCGUUAUGGUGUAGUGGCUAGCAUCAGCCGCUCUCAUUGUAGAGCAUUAAACCGGCUAGACCGGGGUUCGAUUCCCCGUAACGGAA
rnacentral:tRNA from 1 species